ACUGAAGACUACUGAAGGCUACUAAAGGCUACUAAAGACUAAAGGUUACUAAAGGCUACUAGACUACUGAAGGCUACUAAAGGCUACUAGACUACUGAUGGGUACUAAAGGCUACUAGACUACUGAAGGCUACUAAGGCUACUAGACUACUGAAGGCUACUAAAGGCUACUAGACUACUGAUGGGUACUAAAGCCAACUGAUAGCUACUAAAGACAACUACAGUCUACUAAAGGCUACUGAAGACUACUGAAGGCUAUUAAAGGCUACUUAAGGCUAAAGCCUAUAGGGACAGGGCUGAUAUGUGAGUCAUACCUAACACAAUGGUCACAUUUGGGAUUGCAGGACAAUACUGGCUCAUACACAGUUUAUUUCAAAGCAAUUGCUAAAUUGGAAAAAAUGAAAAAAUCUUAGUUUCACAAAUACUUAAAUAAUAUAAUAUAUCUUUAAAUAGUCUUUUUAUCAGCCAUUGUGUGUUCUUUAAAAUAUUAUUACAAAACGCUCAAAUCUGAACUAUUCUGGUAGUGAACCGCUUAGCAGCUUUCACUGGAAUGAAUGAAACACAGCAUUCACAUCCCUUAAUACAUCCACAGCAUGAACUCUGAAAUGUUCAGCAGAACCAGCGGAUAGCAGAAUGGUCAGAUAACCAUUUAAACUCUUUGAUGAACAAUCUAAAAGAUGAAAUAAAUAAUGCUUUACUCCACAGUUCAUUAUCAUACCUCCACACACAUGAAUACUAAACAUUCAGUAUUUACAAUAAUUACUGUAUAAUAAUUGCAGUAAUUACAAUCCCUUGCAAAGAUGACAUUAUUGUAAUUCUUUUUUUUUGACUUAACUGCCUCAUCACGCAAAUCCUACAUUGGCACAAGAAAUUGUCCUGUUCAUUGACUAAAACUACCAAGCUGGUUUCUACUCGAUCUCAUCAUUAAAGUGAUAAAUAUGCAUUACAUCUCACAACUGUUUAUGUUUUGAAGCUACUUUGACUAAUUCUGAUUAUAUAUUUACUUAUAAUAAGAAGAACGUCUGUUUGAUGAUCUUCAAAACAUGUUGCCACCUCUCUGUUAGGUAAAUGGUGCAUUUAUUAUCUUGUUAUUAAUACUCUGUGAAUAUUUUUGGCCUUGUCCCAUCUGAGAGUUGUGAUUUGAGAAAGAACAACUAGUGGGGAACGAGAGGAAAGACUGUGCUACUGGUGAUGGUGUCAAUCUUCCCAAUGAUCAGUUAUAACCACUCUGAGUUGAUUUUUGAACUUAAUACAAACAGAAACAUAGCUGAUGCUCUUGACUCGGAGCUCCCAGGAGUACUCUUUGCGCGGGCCGACCCCGCCUGCGGUGCAUUCGUUUUCUAGUUCUUGAGAUUUAAACAGUGUCCGCAACACAUGGUGCAACAGCUCCCCGGAGAGAAGCUGUGAUUGCACUCCAGUGCAUGAGAUGAUGUUAUGUUUAAUGUGUCAGUUUGCUCCUUGGGGGGAUCUCAACAUCUGGCGUGCUUUGAGUUGUUGGGGUGCUUCCGCUUCCAUGUUUUUCACUUCUCCUGGUUGGCAUAAUGUUUGGAUUCCUUCUCAAUUAGGCAAAGGAAAGUAUCCAUUUCCUGUUGCAUUCUUCCAGGUUCCGUCCUCGUUCUGUUGAUCCCCUGCAGCUGUUGUUUACAUUGAAUAUGGCGGCUUUGGCCGUCUGAUAAUACAAACCUUAUUUCAGUUUUAGUCUUACUCCUCACAGGUACCGACAGCAGUUCUCUGCAGGUCUCCUGCGCAGCCACCCGUUAGUUAACUGUCCCAAAUCAAAGGCCAGCUCGGUGUGGUGAAAGACCCUUGGCGGAAACUGGGUUUGAUUUGUUGAUGUGAGUGCGCUGAGGGCAGAGUGGGGGCCGAGCAUUAAUGGGAUCGAGACAAUAGGCCAUCACUAAUCAGAGACCUCAAGGUUGCCAUGAGGUUAAUUGUAAUGCAGGUGGCAGUAGGGGAGGGGGCGAAUAAGAAAUGUCCACUCCUUUACUGCCUUGGCGGCCAUUGUGUUCUUACAUUAAGCCCUGGGGCUGGGAUUUGGCUUUCUCCCUCACUCUUUCCCCCGUGUCCUCUUUACCUUUUAAUUUCUUAUUAUCCGCUGAUUCCCAUUCAACCUCCAUGGGUUAAAGAAAACCUUUUGCCACACGUCAAAAGGAAAUGUUAAUAUUGAGCCUGUCCUGGCUGUUGUGAUGCGUAGCAAACCAUUGUGGGUAAUUCAACAGUGUAUUUCACAUUCACUGGAAGCACUCCUGUUGCAUCAUUGUUAUUUGUUUAAACCGGCAGAAACAGCAGACCCCGCUUGCUUUUGUGUCGUUGAAAGGCCAUUCCAAAGAAGAGCCGGGUCAUGAAUACACAAUAGGACAGUGUUUUCAGAGUAGCAUUUGUUUUAGGGUUUUAGGUUUUUGUGUUUUCUUGUUACCAUUUUUCCGGGAGGUUGGACUGAGCUGCAUUUACCGCGCUCAUGUUCUUCCUGUGUUUUCCAGUGGGCUGUUUGAAAGGUUGGGGAGUUUAGAGACACAGACACAUCCCUGAAACCUUGAGUUUAAAAAUUCUUUCCACAAAACAAAAAAUUGCAAAAAAGUACCUUUUGUUUAAAUCUUAGUUUUAGCGUGUUAGUUGGAGAGGUUAUUUUUUUCUAUCCUGGGAUCCAUUGUUUUACUCCAUAUUUCAUUCCCUUUAAGUGACAGAAUAAAAUCUCUGCAAGGUGACCCACAGGCCGGCGUCAGCGCGACCGCAGCACCACUGGACUCACAUGUGUUAAUUCACACACAUGCUCAGCCUGGGGUUGAUGGGAAUGGCAUUCGUUAUAUUUCUCCAUAAAUCACUAUUCAACCAAUCCACAAUCUUUCCUUGAAGUUAAUCAAAGUGCAUUUGGUGGCUAAACCGUCGAUCCACCGGAGAAAACCACAAUCCACAAUCCAGGCCACAAUCAGACUCCCUCACAACCAAACCGACGCAGAAUAUCGCUUCCGCGGGACAAUGUUGGGUCUACUGUAGAAUUUGAUAAAAUAAUCGUAAUCAAUUGUCAGGAUUCCUGACAUGUGUAAUUACUUAAUUAACUUGAGAUUUACUUUUUAUUUUAAUCUGCGUCCCUGUUUGCAGAUUGGAUUUGUUAUAACAGUGAUUAAUCAUUCCAAACCAUCUAUUCGUCCUAUUUGAUCCUUUGAUAUAAUGUCCUCUAAAGUUUGCCGUUUUUUUCCUCCUCUUCCUCUCGCAACUUUGAAAUCUUGCCCAUGACACAAGGAACUCCGUGACGGCCAAUCUCAGCGGCUCAAGUGUCGCGCGUCGCGGUGACGUCUUCUGUUGGAAACUCUCGCCGCUUUCCCCUCCCUUUUGCGUUCGAGAGGGAAAGGGUGAACACGAGCAAAGGGAGGCGGAUUGCCUUGAAAGACAAACAUCUCAGCGUCUGCCAACCUGCAAAUGGCCCCUGUGUUUAUUCAGCUGAGGAUUGGACAGGAGCCAGUGCAUCACUGGGGCACCGCGGCAUAUGUGAGGGCAAUGCGCUGAAAUUUGCGUUUGAUACAUAACAAAUGAGACGGUAUUGAGCAGCAGGGGUGCUGGGAAGGCAUUGCUGGAUGAGGUACAGCCGGUAUGGUCGAGGGUAAGAGGAGGGAAGGGGGCACCGUGUCUCUGCCAAGAACCUUCCUCACCAAAGCAUCGUCUUGGGAGACUUGCUUUUGUUGAUUUAUGUCUUAAAAAAAAGGGAGGGGGGGGGUUCAAACAAAAAUGAGUAAUUUGUUGUCAUCUGUGUUACUUUACAGUGACGUUUUAAACAAAAACUCCCAUUGACCAAAGACUGGAUCUCUACACUUCUACUCUGAUCACCUGUCUGUGUCGAAAAUGCUAAAAACCCUCAAAGCAGCCGCCUUCCGUUUAGAAAGCCUUCACAUCUCGCUUGCUUUCAACUUUAUUUUUAAUCCAAAUUUGCAACUUCCCAAUAGCAUUAACCUGGUGAUUAUACAGUACACUAGCUUUAGAUGCACCUUUCAUCUCUCACCCACUUCAUGUGACCAGGACCUUGGUCUGACAAAACUAUUCCAACUAUGGGCUGAUACGUACCACAUUCAUCCGGAUAUGUGACAUUGAGAGGGACAAGCAGAACCGGCGUGGCGAUUAAGGCCCCAUUAUCACCUGUGCCUCCAAGACAUCCGUGACUUUGCCAGACAUCCGAAUGGGCAGGAAAUCUGUCGAGCUGCAGACUAGCAGUGACUUUGAAAUCAACCUCUUUCAACGAGUAAAGCACUUUGAAAACGCAUGAUGCUGCUUACCUGGAGCAGAUCAUCUGCCGUCGCUACGCGUCUUUUGGGGCGGGGGGUGGUGGAGGGGGUUGGUCCAUCACAUCCGUCAAAGUGUUCAGGCGGGUUUGUGUCAAGCGGAACAUUCUUUCAUCUUGCUUAAGGAGGAGUGUGGCGUUUAUGCCUCCAGCUAAGCUCUGAACUGACACCUUCCGUCCUGCUUGCUUGGCCUUAACUGGGGGUUGAUCAGCAGCUCUCAAAUUCCGUCUGAGUGGAACCUCGUGUCACUGUCGGGGUUUUUAAUCCGAAUCUUUUUACUACAUCGCCCCACGGUGACGUUCAUUCAAACUCGAGUUGCUCAAGUUCCUGUUUUUGAUCCAGCAUUUUUCUCAAAAGGUUUUCUUUGAGGAUUCAAACAAAAUCGCCAAAUUGUUACAAUUGGUGGAAUCGGUUUUCAACAACUUGAAUGUUCAGGAAUCACAUUGUUAGUUCUUGAGUUGAAAGCACACUUGCCAUAUUGCACAAAAUGAUUGGCUAAUAAUAUUUCAGUGUCGGAAGAUCUAAUCACGAUCAAGAGCCUGGUGCAACAAGUCGGGUUCUUAAUGAAAUCAUGUUCGCUCGUCACCAUCUCACACCACCUCUCGUCUUAGAUGUAGCACCUAUAGGGAGGCGUAGACCGUCUCGAGGGAGAUUGUGUAAUUCUUUGAGGCUUGUUGAAGGGAAAUGUGUCUAAAUUCCCAGCUUGACACCCAUCUACGCCACCUCUGCUACUGUGGGAUCCAGUGUCUUUGGGAGAGGGGGGUGUUCAAACACGAGAACUCCUUCAUUAUCAGAUGAUUUUGUUUAAGGUACAUAGGAGGACUAAAUUCAUGAUCAACCGUCCCCCGAUAGCACUGAUUACAGAGAGUUAAAUACUAGUGUGGAAAUGUUGUAGGUGGAUAAUUGUGUGCUUAGCGGAUAAAUGAAGUUGUAAAAGCCAUCUGGUACAUUUCAUUGUAAAACUAAGGAGCAUGGAGGUUUCUUUUGCUUCUAUUCACCUGAAAAGGAGUGAAAAAAGCCUUCAGGGUGUUUGUACUGAGGCAAUGAAGACAUCUCACACGUCUUGCUUCUUUAUGUGUUUUCAUUACGAACGGCAGUGAAUCAUACUUUAUAAAUGGCCCUGUGAAAAAAAAAGAAAGAAUAAAGAGCAUCCAGACUCCCUGACCUCUUUACAAGAACCGACCAACAGGGAUGGUUCUCAAUGCAACAACAUGAUUUGUAUUUUUACAUUUGCUUUACAUACGAUUAUAUUACAUAUUUUCAGUUCGCAAUUACAAUCAGGUUGCGUUGCAGGUUUAGAUGUAAUCCCAAAGUAAUACAAAUUCAGCUCACAGCUAAUGAUAUUCAUGAGCUGCAGCGUACCCCAGUGCUCUGCCUGUAGCUUGUACCUAUUGUUAAGCCUUCCUAUCCACCCCUGAGGUACAGGCUUGUGGCAACAUUUAAGUAAAUGACAUAAUCUUACACUUAUGCGUAGUGCAGAAAAGCCGUGAUUGAAAUUGAAAGUAUAUUGCAGGCCCGAUCCUUAACGUCUGCUUCGCAUCACAUGUCUUCGUCUUAAAAAACAUGGCUGGGAAAUGAACUCUUUAAAUCACGGCGUCUUCCGUGAUUAGAUAAAAUACUUGACGUUAUUAAGAAAAAAACCCCGAUGCUCUACUCUCAAACAUCAAAGCGGCUGAGUCCGUUGUUAUCCUUCAUGUCAUUAUCAUGAGCCGUUCUAAAGGACAUGGAAACUACCGUAAGACAAUAACCUCCUUAGGUACAAGGCUAAGUCUCAGCUCCGUCUGCAUUAGGCAGAAAAAAAAGGCUUGUGUAAUUAGUCGUGCACUAUAAAUCAAGUGGUGUGAAUCUAUUUCGCCAUGCCCUAAUUGAAAGUGCUCUCUUUUUUUUCCGGGGCUGCUGUAGUCGGACACAGAGCUCCAUCGGAUGGUGAUAGAUGUGGAAUCCAGCACAAACAGUUUGAACCAGUCAGGCCGUGAUUGAUCAGUACCCUCUGGGAUGUCGGGUGGAUCUUUCUCCUUCAAGCAGAAGAUAAAAGCCUUAACGACUCUCCAGUCUUGUUGUACCUCCCAAUUGUGUGUCUGUGUGUGUGUGUGUGUCUCUCUCUCUCUGUGUGUCAGGGUUUCAUUAUUUCGCAGUGUUUGACCUUGAAGGUUGUGUGUGCAUUUGGUCUGUGAUGUCUCAAUGAUUUCUCUUUUAAGUGCCAAACGGUGCCUUUUAUGCACUAUUGAUGCUGCUAUACACACUACAUUACUGCCCCAUGGAGGAGGCGAUUUGCAUGAAAAUUUAGUUGAUUUAUGACUGGAUUCUACAGCAUUUUCUAUAACCACCCAGCGCAUUUUUGCAGGGGCUUAGUAGUGGCCGUAGUGAUGCCACAGUACAGUGCUGUAACACAACUUCAAAGGCCGUUUUGUUCACACGCACCCUGACAAAAACACGGGGUGACUUCCAGUGGCAAAGGUGGACCAGCUGGACUAUUUUGUUCUCCGCUUGUGUGUGUGUGUGUGUUUUUUUUUUCUUUCUUUCUGUUUUCGCCCUCUUCAUCGUCCCCACUUCUUCCCCCAUCUUUUUUUAAAAUUUUCUCCAAGCAUUUGCUCCGGAGAUUUACACUUGCUGUUGUUUGAUAGAAUUAAAGGAAAAAGAAAAAAAAACGGCAAGCAGGAGAGCGGGCAGUGCUGGAGAUUCAGGUUCGGCGUGCGGUAUUUCUCGGCUGAUCGUCUUACAUCGGCGAUGGAUGUGGCUUUUAGAUGUGGAGGUGCAUCAGAGGGGAUCACUCGGCAUCUGGCCCAACACUCUUGUGUCACCGUGACCCUCCUGUGGGGGGAGGCUGUGAGGGCCACAGCAGGGGGUCCCACUGAAAAGCAACAUAAAUUUCAGAGGGAGAAUCAAUAGACUGUGAGAAUUGUGAGAGAUGCAUUGGUUUGGACUCUCUGACUGUGACCCCGUUACUUUACUAUAUAGAAGUCGCCAGGGAGGCAGCCACAAUCCUCAACAACAGUAAAAAUAACAACGUUAAACAACAACACAGAGAUCCAAACGAGGCCAGACACUUCUUCAGACUACUUCUUUCAAUUAUCACACUAACCCAACCAACCAACACCAAAUUCUGCGGCAUGGCUGUAUUUUCAGGAUGGCUUUAGAGGGAGAAAAGAAUAUAGUCUGUUACGUGGGGGAAGACCUAUUCUCCCACAAGAUGUAUAAAUAGCCGCAGCCAUGGCCCUCUGUGUCAAAGUUAGGACACUCAGUGGGGUGCACACUUCAAAGCAACCAGGGAAUUCUCCAAAGCAACUGCUGGCAAUUUCAAAUCAGCAUUCCCUCUGAAAGCAAGGCAACCUUUCACCUGUUUGUGGACUCGGGAUAACUAGAGGAGGAAAUGUCAAAUUCAGAUUACAGUACAGCAUAUAUACGUAGAACCGCCUGUAUGGGCCUAUAUGUCAUCAAUGUGCUUAAAAUAGAUCUUUUUAAAAUAUUGUUGUUGCCUAAGCAACAAAAUAAUACAAAACCAUUUUUUGGUUUGAGCCAAAGUUAAAAAAAAUGAUACAUGGUUUCAUAGUUUCAGCGUUGGCAACAGAUUUUAUCCCCAAAACUGAAAACGCGGUUGAUCAGGCUUGAAAAAAACGUCAAUAAUUUCCCCCAAAUAUAUUUAAACCAGAAACGCGAAAGCCAGGCUCUUCAUUUUAAUUUGAACGAAUACAUGUGCUUAUUUGUUUUGGUCUUCAAACACCCGACAUGAACCAAACAAAGAUAGCCUUAAGCCUAUCGAAUGAAGACAUGUGGUUAACAUGGUAUUGUGUCUUUGAAGGAGUCGGCAUGUGGUGCAUUGUGGGUAGUGGGGUGCUCUCUGGCCACAGUAGGAUACCGGCGGCCCCGUCCAGUUUACAGGUGCUGUCGCCUUCUCCUCCGUCAUAUUAAUUAUGGGAUGAAAAAAAAAGCCUCUAAUCCCUGAGCCUUUGAAGUAGGCCACUUUCUGAAAGGCUACAACCGAAAUAUCACGCUCACACACACACACACAAACACACACACACACACACACACACACACACACACACACACACACACACACACUAUCACACCUACAGGAAACGUAUGUAUGCUCUUUCAAAAUAUAAAAGAAUCCAUGUGCACAUUUCUUUUCAUGCUUCUUUCUAGUUGGAUGAUUUAGUGUUUUUUUUGCUGAUGACGAUCUUCAUGUGACAUUUUAUAGCAGCUAAAACUCUUUGGAUUAUAGUUUCUUUAUCCGUGUGAUUAAACCUGUACAGCAUAUAAUUUCCUCCAAGGAUUAGUUCACCCAAAUGCUCUGCUGGCAGCCAUUUGGGUUUCUGCAACAUUUCUCAGCUCUGAAUGAAAGAUAAUGUUGAUGUUCCAAGUUAUUUUCAACAGCAACGAGGUGCAAUUCGCGUUUCAUCUCCUCCACAAAGAGAGCAAACAACUCAUUCACUGAAAGUUCCCUGAAUUUUACAUUAUUCAACUCACUUCCCACAACCUCCUCUUUGAUAAUCUGCUCAGAGCCAGCGAAGCCGAGACGACGCAAGGUUAUCUCGCUCAUUUUUGUAUUUCUUUUUAUUAAUUUGCCGAUUCUGUUUGUUGUCUCGUCUGAAAACGCACACUCGCGCAGAUGGAUAGCGCUCUCCACCAAGAUGAAAGGGGAAUCCCCGCUGAACGGUCACGCAAAACUGUCACCCCGUCCCCGGUAAGCAGACUGUGGUCUCGUUUCCCCUCUGUAAUCAGAUCUCGGGCCUGCACUUCACUGAGGAAAACAGCCAUUGGAGAUUGGCGGCCUACAACCGUUUUUUUUUUCCUUUUUUUACGGCUGUUGUUUCAGGUGGGCGGCGAGUUGGUGGGCCGGGCGGCUGGCGGAGGGAUUUUACACUGCCCUCUUGUGCUCCGAAGCACGCUGUACUGCCUUCACUCUGUUUCGCGCCGAUUGCAUUUUUACCGCUGUGGGUCCCGGCAGCGUCGACGGCGCGGCGGCAAACAACAAAACCGCCUACUGUGCAGUUAAAUAUGAUGUAAAUAUGAUUGAAAAUGCUGCGAGAUGUGGGUGCUGUUUUGUUUUUUGUUGAUCUCUGCGGUCAUGCAGUUUUAUCGUGAAGCCUGCAGGUUUAUACAAACAGACACAAAUGACUGCAAAAGCACAUUCCUACUUUUGCUAAUGCCUGUGAGUGGGCUUCUAUGAUACAAAAAUAUUAGUGGCGUGUUGCUUUGGCACAAUGCUUUUAAAGCACAACAGUUCUGCUUGUCAAAGAAUCACAUUGAUUAGUGGUUUUCUUUCACUAUUUGUUCAGCUUUAUGUUUUCUAUUAAAAAAAGGACGACCUUUCCCUUCAAAAGACGAACCGUUUAUUUAAUAAAAUGACAAAAGCAGCAUUUUUUGAAAGAAUAAAACAAACACCUGAAUGUCCUCUCUAUUAGGGCAGAUUUAGCACGCGGUCGACAGCGAGGGCUGCAGCUCUUCCUGCUCUGCCACACGUCAAAAGGAUAGAGAGGAAUAAUUGUUUGAUCUGUCCUUUUGCCUGUCGCUGCCCUAAUCACUCAAGACUGAUUCAGAAAAUGCAGGCUUGAAUGUCAGAGGGCCUCCUGUGGAGAGGCGGAGCGUUUCAGCGGCUUUGGACAGCCGUGCACCGGUAAUCACCACUCUCAACCUGGCCGGGCACUCCAGCACUCCCCUGAUUGAGCACCUCAAUCUAACAAGGUGCUGUUGCCGGAGCCGGAGAUUCUGCCAGGUUUUGACAAACCAGCGGAUUGUCCCUGAUCAUCAUGGGACAUUGCUUUUUUUUUCGCGGCUCAGCCAUGCGUGCCGCAGGGCAAACCUCGGAGAGUCAGGCACACCUGCCAGCGCUGUGAACGUCAGCGCUGCGCAUGAAAUUAAAAAUCAGCUCGAAGGUUGCCGUCCUUUGAAAGCAGAGGGGGGAGGGGGAAAAAAAGGGAAAAAAAAUCAAAUGGGUCGACGUCAUUUGGAGGAUCUGCUUGUUUCCUGUCAUGUUGGAGCCAUUUUGGGAACGUUGUUUACAUUUCCCCUGUGAUUCCUGACUGCUUCCACGCUUCCUGUGACCCUGUUUCAGCCUGUGACACCGGGGCCUCGCCCCGAGGGAAAAUACAUCCCGAUCCGAGCUAGAUAGCAGCGUGUUUACAAUUACCUUUAACCUCAAGCUUUUACCCCAAGAGGCGUAAUUGAUUACAGUAGCAAGCAGCAGUCCGUCAGGCUUUGAAUUGUGAUAUUUUUCUAUAGAUUUGACACAGCUACGGCGGCAACUAACAGUUGGUCUCAUAAUCAAAUAAGCUGUAAAUAUCAUUU
ensembl:lncRNA